UACGUAGGGUGCAGGCGUUUAAUCGGAAUUACUGGGCGUAAAGCGUGCGCAGGCGGUUUCUUAAGUCAGAUGUGAAAGCCCCGGGCUUAACCUGGGAACUGCGUUUGAAACUGGGAGACUUGAGUGUGGCAGAGGGGGGUGGAAUUCCGACGUGUAGCAGUGAAAUGCGUAGAUAUGUGGAGGAACACCGAUGGCGAAGGCAGCCCCCUGGGUUAACACUGACGCUCAUGCACGAAAGCGUGGGGAGCAAACAGG
rnacentral:rRNA from 1 species